CCUACGGGGGGCAGCAGUAGGGAAUCUUCCGCAAUGGGCGAAAGCCUGAUGGAGCAACGCCGCGUGGGUGAAGAAGGUCUUCGGAUCGUAAAACCCUGUUGUUAGAGAAGAAAGUACGUGAGAGUAACUGUUCACGUUUCGACGGUAUCUAACCAGAAAGCCACGGCUAACUACGUGCCAGCAGCCGCGGUAAUACGUAGGUGGCAAGCGUUAUCCGGAUUUAUUGGGCGUAAAGGGAACGCAGGCGGUCUUUUAAGUCUGAUGUGAAAGCCUUCGGCUUAACCGGGGUAGUGCAUUGGAAACUGGGAGACUGGAGUGCAGAAGAGGAGAGUGGAACUCCAUGUGUAGCGGUGAAAUGCGUAGAUAUAUGGAAGAACACCAGUGGCGAAAGCGGCUCUCUGGUCUGUAACUGACGCUGAGGUUCGAAAGCGUGGGUAGCAAACAGGAUUAGAUACCCGAGUAGUC
rnacentral:rRNA from 1 species